UACGAAGGGGGCUAGCGUUGUUCGGAAUUACUGGGCGUAAAGCGUACGUAGGCGGAUUGUUAAGUGAGGGGUGAAAUCCCGAGGCUCAACCUCGGAACUGCCUUUCAUACUGGCAAUCUUGAGUCCGGGAGAGGUGAGUGGAACUCCUAGUGUAGAGAUGAAAUUCGUAGAUAUUAGGAAGAACACCAGCGGCGAAGGCGGCAUCCUGGACUGGUCCUGACACUCAGGAGCGAAAGCGUGGGGAGCGAUCCGG
rnacentral:rRNA from 1 species